rnacentral:rRNA from 1 species
GAUGAACGCUGGCGGCGUGCCUAAUACAUGCAAGUCGAGCGAAAAGACGCGGCGUUUGUUCCUUUCACGUUAGCGGAGGACGGGUGAGAAACAUGUGGAUAACGUCCCUAUCAGACUGGGAUAAUCACGGGACACCGGAGAAUACACCGGAUAAUCUCUUGAACCGUGUGGUGCAAUAGUGAAAGACGGCUUUGGUGUCUCUUAUCGAUGGAUCCGCGCCGGAUUAGCUAGUUGGUAAGGUAACGGCUUACCAAGGCAACGAUGCGUGGCCGACCUGAGAGGGGGGUCGGCCACACGGGAGCUGAGACGCGGUCCAUGCUCCUGCGGUAGGCAGCAGUAGGGAAUCUUCCGCAAUGGUCGAAAGCCUUGCGGAGCAACGCGAAGUGUGUUAUGAAGAUCUUCGGAUCGGGAAACUCUGUUAUGAGUGAAGAACAAAUGUGGAAGUAACUAUGCACUUCUUGACGGUACUUAAUCAGAAAGCCACGGCUAACUACGUG